rnacentral:rRNA from 1 species
CUGGCUCAGAUUGAACGCUGGCGGCGUGCUUAACACAUGCAAGUCGCGCGUGAAAGGACUUCGGUCCGAGUAAAGCGGCGCACGGGUGAGUAACGCGUGGAUGAUCUACCCAUGAGUUAGGAAUAACGGCUGGAAACGGUCGCUAAUACCAAAUACGCUCCGAUUUCAACUUCGGGGGAAAGGUGGCCUCUGCUUGCAAGCUACUGCUCAUGGAUGAGUCCGCGUCCCAUUAGCUAGUUGGUGGGGUAACGGCCCACCAAGGCGACGAUGGGUAGCCGGUCUGAGAGGAUGACCGGCCACACUGGGACUGGAACACGGCCCAGACUCCUACGGGAGGCAGCAGUGGGGAAUAUUGCGCAAUGGGCGAAAGCCUGACGCAGCGACGCCGCGUGAGGGAUGAAGGUCCUCGGAUCGUAAACCUCUGUCAGGAGGGAAGAACCGCCACGGUGCUAAUCAGCCGUGGUCUGACGGUACCUCCAAAGGAAGCACCGGCUAACUCCGUGCCAGCAGCCGC